AGGCGGAGUCGUGGACUUGGAGGGCGGAGCUUGGAAUCUGAAGGGGCGGGGCCUCGUCUGGGUAGAGGAUUGAGGCCUGGAGGGCCGGGGCUUGGGGGAGGUUCCCAGAAGGGGCGGGGCUUGUGUAUUGGGUGAGGUCUGAGGCCUGGAAGGCAGAGACUUAAGGCCUGGAGGGCGGAGCUUUUGCCCGGAGGGGCGGGGCUUAUGAACUGGAGGUGGGGGUGGAGCUUGUGUCUGGGGCCAAGUCUGGGCCUGGAAACGCCGGGCCUGAGGUCUAGAGGGGCGGGUUUUGGGCCCGGAGCGGUUUGGAGGUAAGAGAGAUGGCGCUCAGGACGAGAGGGUUCCCUGCCCUGCCCCAGGAGCCUGCGUGGGAGAAGGCGUGAGGAGGGGAAGGAAGGUUAUGGUACCUGCACACCGAGAGGCUGGAGCGCGAGACCGCAGCUGCUUCUGGAUGCAGGGUCUAUGCACCUGCUCCCCCUUCCAGCGGGGCCUCCCCAACAUCCUCUGCACCUGGUUUCUCCUCUGCACCCUUCAGCCGCGGAUCUGGGAGCACUUCUGCAGGUGCUCCCUAGGAGCUCAGGCCACAUCACAGCCCACAUGACCAUCUGUGAACGUUUCUCACCCUGGGUUACUCAUCCGCCACACUGGAAGGCAACCCUGUGGCGUGUCCUGGUCUCUGCCUCACCCUGAAGAAUGAGAAACCUGUUUAAAGUGAAGUGUGAUGGAAUCAAGUCAGACGUGAGGAAGGACCUACCUCCUUGGUCAAAGCU